AUACGUAGGUGACAAGCGUUAUCCGGAUUUACUGGGCGUAAAGGGCGUGUAGGCGGUCUUGCAAGUCAGAAGUGAAAUUCCUGAGCUCAACUCGGGCGCUGCUUCUGAAACUGCAGGACUUGAGUGCUGGAGGGGAUAGCGGAAUUCCUAGUGGAGCGGUAAAAUGCGCAGAUAUUAGGAAGAACACCGGUGGCGAAGGCGUCUCUGUGGAUAGUAACGGGCGAUUGGGCGGGAAAGCGGGGGGAGUAAACGGGAGUGUAUCCCCGGGUAGUCCCCGCCGUAAACGAUGAAUACUAGGUGUAGGGGGUAUCGACUCCCUCUGUGCCGCAGUUAACACAAUAAGUAUUCCGCCUGGGGAGUUAGGCCGCAAGGUUGAAACUCAAAGGAAUUGGCGGGG
rnacentral:rRNA from 1 species